rnacentral:lncRNA from 1 species
GACACUUCUCUAACUCUGCUUUCUUUACCAGGUAGCAUUUGUCUCCACGGUUGGAAGACUGCUGCUGCAGCACAGACUGGUGUCUCUAUUAAUAGAUAUCUCAGUUGCACUACAGACAGGAAGAAGGGCAAAGGGGAAGAACACGAUGGCUUUUAGCAGCCUGACGCCUUGGUUUUUAGUUUCUGUCUCUAGUGACAGGUGGAAAAGAAGGAUGAGGAAGGGGCUUUACUGGCCCAACCAGAAAUAGUAACUAAGAACCCAUGACUGUAUUCUCUCCCUUGGACACCCCUGGGAAGCUCUGUACUGGCUGGAGGGUGCAUGGAACCCACCCAGAGGUGCUCUGCAAUCAGCAAUUCAGUGAGCCAUUCACAGUCCAACCAGUUGCCUUCUGAUGAGAAUGCAUCACACCGCAUGUGGGGAGGGCCAUGUGGGAAUUCUCACACCUGUUGCCUAGAUGCCUGUGUCUGGUUAGAACCACUGCAUGCUUUCUUUCAGUCUACAUUGAAUACGUCUUUGCUGCUCUGGGAUCCAUCCUCCAGUCUUCAGUCAGCUAAGAAAAUGACCUGUGGGCACGUUGGCUUCCUUUCUUCGGAUUAAGUGGUUGUUCAGAGAGAGGCUGAGUCUGAUUGUUUACACAAGAAGGAAGUGAACACUGGCUGUGUGCCUGGCACUGUUAGGAGCCAUCAAACCAUGUCCAGAAAGGACGCAGGGAAAGGAGAUGUCGAUGUUUCCAGACAUUUUGUGAUGUGAAGAGAGCGCCUGAAGGUUUUUGAUGAUGCUUAACUCACGUGCUUUGCUUAAAGAACUGCAGGGACUGACCUGAAACGCUAAGCAUGGAAUCCAGGUUGCAGAACAUCCCACUCUGGAAAGAAGGCUGAGCCGUUCAUCUGUAUUCCUGUUGCAAUCAAGCUAAUGCCAGCCAGACCACCAGGUGGCCCAUUAUUCAAGACAGUCAUUGAGACUAGACAGACUGACCAGCAUGUAUUCAGCUCUUGUACAUAAUUCCCCCAGACUCCCCCUCGCAUAACACCCCUGGCCAGCCUGAGAAAUUCGAGAUGGUCUUUGUGACACUAGCCCACCAUCUCCUCAGGUUGCCAGCUCCUCAUAAACCUACUUCUCCUCCGACCAACUCUUGUGUCUCCAGUUUGGCUCUCAAGGAGCGAGCAGCCGAACCUAGGUUCAGUGACAUUUCUAAAUGCUAUGACAUACAGGCUGUAAGCACUCACAAGGCAAGCAACAUGAACUCAAUUCCCUGAGUCAUGGGAAAUGACGGGCUCCUAUGACUACCUUUGUUUAAAGUGAAAAGGAAAUACAGGUAAACUUAGAGUGCCCAGAAUUGAGAUGGAAAGCUUUUAUUCUUGGGGAACUGUAAGUAAGAUGAUGUGCAUGUGAAAAAAACCCACAAACUACAAGUCCCAAAGAGUAGUGGAAAGCCUGCCCUUUAGAUUGGAACAGUGAGCCCAAUGGGCAAGGGUUCCAGUUGAGACUCAUCCUGUGGAGUGGAGCCCAGGUUUCCAUAAAGGUCCCACGAUGACUGGAAGUGACUUCGCAAACCCCACCCCUCUACUCCCUCCAUGCUGCAUCUCAGGGUCAGGGCUGGGGCAGGAAGCAAAUUGCACACCUGUAACAUGAAGACAAGCGAAAGGAUUUAAGGUGAAGAAGGUUAGGAUGGAAGCCCUCCUAGUAAUUCAUUGGUGUUGGAGAGAUGACUGUAUUUCUACCUCGGUGAAAGCCAAGCUUUUAAUUCAAUAUCACUCCAAAAACACAAAUUACAAGUUGUGUGAUACACAGACGAUUAACCCACCUAAUAAUUAAAUUAAAAAACACUUUUUGAGGGAACAAAUUAGAUUAUGUUUUCCGAAUCAGCAGCUUAGAGAUUUUUAUUACCUAUUAAUAAAAAUUAUCUAAACAUCCAUCACCAUAACUUUUCCUCUACUUUGUUUCCAUUUCUUUCUUUCUUUUUUUUUUUUUUUUUGAGAUGAAGUUUCACUCUUGUUGCCCAGGUUGGAGUACAAUGGUGUGAUCUUGGCUCACUGCAAUCUCCGCCUCCUGGAUUCAAGUGAUUCUCCUGCCUCAGCCUCCCAAGUCGCUGGGAUUACAGGCAUGCGCCGCCAAGCCUGGCUAAUUUUUUAUAUUUUAAGUAGAGACUAGAGACAGGGUUUCACCAUGUUGGCCAGGCUGGUCUUGAACUCCUGACCUUCAGGUGAUUCACCCGCCUCGGCCUCCUAAAGUGCUGGGAUUAUAGGCGUGAGCCACCGUGACCAGCCUUUGUUUCCAUUUCUAUAGUAUAGUUUCAAUUUUGUGUCUGUGCAAAUAAAAGUGUCCAGCAAUAUGAAAGAAAAAAAAUUUUUAGGCUUUUUACAUUUUUCAAUUGUUUUCUUCAGUGUGUCUUGAUUCAUUUUUUAUUUCCCUCUUCAGAUUCUCUCCUAGUUUUGUUGUGUUUUUUUUUAAGUUUUAAUCAGUGAUUCACCAUCAAUGAUUCUCCACCUUAUAGCUCUCCUCUUCAUCUGUAGUAACACAGUGCUGGCACGUAGGAGGCACUCAAUGAAUAUUUGACAAGCGAAUGAACUCAUGUCAAUGGUUCUCAAUAUUUGGAAUAAAGGCCACUUUAGGCAUGUGGUGAUAGCAAUAGAUUCUUUCCUCUGGUAAUGGAACACACACACGAUUUUACAUGACAGUUUCAGGGGAUUCAUAAAGCCCAUCUUCUGACCUAGGGUUCUUUAAACCCCAGAUAUCACAUUAAAGUGCUACUGUGUUUGGAAACACUAGAAGAUAUUUGUUGUAGGUUCCGGGUAUAAGGGAAGAUGGUGUCCGAUAUUAAAUUUAUGACUUGGUAAUUCGAGACACUCUCCCUCACAACUGAUCUGGGAGGCACUGUCUGUAAUGAAGAAAAAAUGGUACCCAAAGCAUCAGUCCAUAAAACUAAUUUAGCACACUCUACCCAAAGGGACGCCAUCUGUCUGAAUAACAAAGUGUAAAUAAGCUCAGAGGAUGUAGAUAUGGUAUCUUCUCAGACUUUAGACCUCCACAGGAAUCCCACGGGAAUCAUGUUAGAAUGCAGAUUCUGACUCAGUGGGCUCGAGGUGAGGCCGAUAUUCUGCAUUUCUGACUUGCUCUCAGGGGUUGCCAUGCAGCUGGUCUAUUCACAGAUCACAAUUUGAGUACCCAGGCCUCAGAGCAUCCUCAGUACCCCAAGUGUACUGUUCCUCUGCACCUCUCUUCCAAAACGUAUCCUCACAUAUACCAGCUUUCAAAAGCACAUUUCAAACUUUGUUACUUGCUCAUAUAAAGUUGGGUGUUAAAAUAUGCCCCCUCAAAAUAAUACCAACAAACAAUCCUUUGAAUUAUCCCAUGCAGAUGUCACCGUCCUCUUGUUACAGACAAAAGCCAAAAUUGACAAAUGGGAUCUAAUUAAACU